CCUACGGGUGGCAGCAGUGGGGAAUAUGGGACAAUGGGGGCAACCCUGAUCCAGCCAUGCCGCGUGUGUGAAGAAGGCCCUCGGGUUGUAAAGCACUUUCAGUGAGGAAGAACGCCUGGUGGUUAAUACCCAUCAGGAAAGACAUCACUCACAGAAGAAGCACCGGCUAACUCCGUGCCAGCAGCCGCGGUAAUACGGAGGGUGCGAGCGUUAAUCGGAAUUACUGGGCGUAAAGCGCGCGUAGGUGGCUUGAUAAGCCGGUUGUGAAAGCCCCGGGCUCAACCUGGGAACGGCAUCCGGAACUGUCAAGCUAGAGUGCAGGAGAGGAAGGUAGAAUUCCCGGUGUAGCGGUGAAAUGCGUAGAGAUCGGGAGGAAUACCAGUGGCGAAGGCGGCCUUCUGGACUGACACUGACACUGAGGUGCGAAAGCGUGGGUAGCAAACAGGCUUAGAUACCCCGGUAGUC
rnacentral:rRNA from 1 species